UCCUGGAUAGCUCAGUUGGUUAGAGCAUGGUGCUGAUAAUGCCAAGGUUGCAGGUUCGAUCCCUGAAUGGGAG